GACCCCUAAAUUCGACAGGCUUAAUUAACCCCAUAAAAUACUUAUUUUUUGAAUUAAGCAACUACAUUGUAUCCUCUUCUCUCGUCUUCUUUGUUACAGCAGUCUAAUCAGAGUAUGUUCUAUCUUACUUGAUUGUUCAUAUGCUAAUAAUUUUUUUAUCAUAUAAUGAUGGAGAUUUACUUCCAAAGAAACCAGUAUCUCGCAUAUGUGGCAUUUUCAAAAUGUGAUUAUUUACACCA
rnacentral:lncRNA from 1 species